rnacentral:rRNA from 1 species
GAUGAACGCUGGCGGCGUGCCUAAUACAUGCAAGUCGAGCGAACGGACGAGAAGCUUGCUUCUCUGAUGUUAGCGGCGGACGGGUGAGUAACACGUGGAUAACCUACCUAUAAGACUGGGAUAACUUCGGGAAACCGGAGCUAAUUCCGGAUAAUAUUUUGAACCGCAUGGUUCAAAAGUGAAAGACGGUCUUGCUGUCACUUAUAGAUGGAUCCGCGCUGCAUUAGCUAGUUGGUAAGGUAACGGCUUACCAAGGCAACGAUGCAUAGCCGACCUGAGAGGGUGAUCGGCCACACUGGAACUGAGACACGGUCCAGACUCCUACGGGAGGCAGCAGUAGGGAAUCUUCCGCAAUGGGCGAAAGCCUGACGGAGCAACGCCGCGUGAGUGAUGAAGGUCUUCGGAUCGUAAAACUCUGUUAUUAGGGAAGAACAUAUGUGUAAGUAACUGUGCACAUCUUGACGGUACCUAAUCAGAAAGCCACGGCUAACUACGU